AUCCAUCUGACGAGUCCCAAAUGGGACGAAACGCGCGUCCUGAAU
rnacentral:hammerhead_ribozyme from 1 species